rnacentral:lncRNA from 1 species
GUCCCCGGAAAAUUUUGGGCAGCAACUUUUUGCACUUUGGCAGUUUCGGAGUCCUUUACUAAAACUUAUAUAAAACGAAAUCUGUAACUCUGAUUAAUGAUCCGUCAAUUUUGUUGGGUUCGUAUCUUUCCAAACUACAAUUUUCAUCUGUCACAAUCUAUAUUUGGACAUGUUAAACUCCCGGAAUUUAGCCCGGAAUUGGCUGGUAAAAACUGUCAUUCUAACAGUUUUUCUUAUCUUUGAGUAGUUUGGUAGAAAUCCCAUAACUCUCUCCUCCGAUGUCGGAUUUAGUCCAUUUCGGAGUCUAUGGAAAGCUUAUUGAGUGUACUAUAACAUAUCACAAGUCCAGAAUUUUUAGAGCACCCUAACAAAUCCGAAAUUUUCUGUUUAGGGCAGCAGUCCAUUAAUUCAUUUAAAACAAAAAAAACUGUUUUGGUUCUUCUUCUUUGUUCAAGCUUAUCAACCCUAAAAAUGGCAAGAUCUAACCAUAAAAUAUCAUAUAUCAUGUAGAUCUUCCUUCAUAUGGUUUAAAAUCAUAAGUUCAACACUUGAUCUAAAACACCAUAUCAAAACACUUUUUAAAAGUUUAACUUUUCCGGAAAAUUUCCAUUUUUCUAUUCCUUUGAUUCCAACCAAAAUCAACACCCAAUAUUGUUAGAUCUAAACAUAAAAUACUCAUAACCACAUAUAUCUAAGGUUUUUGAGUUUAGAAACAAAGAUUCAAGAUUUCCUUUAGAAUAUUCAAAAUAAAAUUAUAUAAACAAAAAUGAUUAUACCUUUGCUUAAUUUUCUUUCUCCUUCCUUCUUCCUUCCAUGGAUGGCCUCAUUCUCUUCUCCCUUCUUCCUCAAGGGCUGCCGAACU